rnacentral:rRNA from 1 species
GAACGGGUGAGUAAUACAUCGGAACGUGUCCUUAAGUGGGGAAUAACGCAUCGAAAGAUGUGCUAAUACCGCAUAUCUCUGAGGAGAAAAGCAGGGAUCGCAAGACCUUGCGCUAAAGGAGCGGCCGAUGUCUGAUUAGCUAGUUGGUGGGGUAAAGGCUUACCAAGGCAACGAUCAGUAGUUGGUCUGAGAGGACGGCCAACCACACUGGGACUGAGACACGGCCCAGACUCCUACGGGAGGCAGCAGUGGGGAAUUUUGGACAAUGGGCGAAAGCCUGAUCCAGCCAUGCCGCGUGAGUGAAGAAGGCCUUCGGGUUGUAAAGCUCUUUUAGUCGGAAAGAAAGAGUUGCAAUGAAUAAUUGUGAUUUAUGACGGUACCGACAGAAAAAGCACC